rnacentral:rRNA from 1 species
UACGGAGGGUGCGGGCGUUGUCCGGAAUCACUGGGCGUAAAGGGCGCGUAGGCGGCCUGAUAAGUAGGGGGUGAAAUCUUGCGGCUUAACCGCAAGGCUGCCUUCUAAACUGUCAGGCUAGAGCACAGUAGAGGCAGGUGGAAUUCCCGGUGUAGCGGUGGAAUGCGUAGAGAUCGGGAAGAACAUCAGUGGCGAAGGCGGCCUGCUGGGCUGUUGCUGACGCUGAGGCGCGACAGCGUGGGGAGCAAACAGG